GUAGUGCAUCAGAUGCCAUUUGUAUCGCUGGUAUUACAGAAAUGGCAACUCACCUGGGUAUAAACAUGUCAUGCUGAUGUCUGAACAAACUUCUAUUUGGGUCCUUGCAGGGAACCGAGACAUCAGACGUGGAUGGAUGCUGCAAGACCUGUGAGCACAGUAACUGUGUUCGAGUGAGGAAUACCACCCAAAUCCAUGUGAAAGGCUGCACCUCCAUUGGGCCUAUAGAAGUGACUUCCUGCAGUGGCCACUGUGACAGCCAGUCAAUGUAUUCAAUGGAGGCUAAUAAAAUGAUUCACAGCUGCUCUUGUUGCCGAGAGAGUAAAAUCAGUACUAAACAAGUGAAGCUGAAGUGUCCCGAUAACAGCGAGAUCAUGUACAACUACGGCUACACUGAGAGCUGUGAAUGCACACCAACAAAGUGCAUAGACUAGAAUGCUUCUCGCAUAAAAUGUCUUUCAGUUUUUGCCUUGAUUACUGUUGAUUUAAACAUUACCUGUUAAAUAAGAAAGCUAUUAAAAAUUAAUGUAAGCCAUUGUUGUGCAUAAUUAACAAACGUUACUUUGGUGAAAAAUUCCACUAUACAGCUUUUUGUUU